GGGUUGUGAGGUUAAGCGACUAAGCGUACACGGUGGAUGCCCUGGCAGUCAGAGGCGAUGAAGGACGUGCUAAUCUGCGAUAAGCGUCGGUAAGGUGAUAUGAACCGUUAUAACCGGCGAUUUCCGAAUGGGGAAACCCAGUGUGAUUCGUCACACUAUCAUUAACUGAAUCCAUAGGUUAAUGAGGCGAACCGGGGGAACUGAAACAUCUAAGUACCCCGAGGAAAAGAAAUCAACCGAGAUUCCCCCAGUAGCGGCGAGCGAACGGGGAGGAGCCCAGAGCCUGAAUCAGUGUGUGUGUUAGUGGAAGCGUCUGGAAAGGCGCGCGAUACAGGGUGACAGCCCCGUACACAAAAAUGCACAUACUGUGAGCUCGAUGAGUAGGGCGGGACACGUGGUAUCCUGUCUGAAUAUGGGGGGACCAUCCUCCAAGGCUAAAUACUCCUGACUGACCGAUAGUGAACCAGUACCGUGAGGGAAAGGCGAAAAGAACCCCGGCGAGGGGAGUGAAAAAGAACCUGAAACCGUGUACGUACAAGCAGUGGGAGCCUCUUUAUGGGGUGACUGCGUACCUUUUGUAUAAUGGGUCAGCGACUUAUAUUCUGUAGCAAGGUUAACCGAAUAGGGGAGCCGAAGGGAAACCGAGUCUUAACUGGGCGUUAAGUUGCAGGGUAUAGACCCGAAACCCGGUGAUCUAGCCAUGGGCAGGUUGAAGGUUGGGUAACACUAACUGGAGGACCGAACCGACUAAUGUUGAAAAAUUAGCGGAUGACUUGUGGCUGGGGGUGAAAGGCCAAUCAAACCGGGAGAUAGCUGGUUCUCCCCGAAAGCUAUUUAGGUAGCGCCUCGUGAACUCAUCUCCGGGGGUAGAGCACUGUUUCGGCAAGGGGGUCAUCCCGACUUACCAACCCGAUGCAAACUGCGAAUACCGGAGAAUGUUAUCACGGGAGACACACGGCGGGUGCUAACGUCCGUCGUGAAGAGGGAAACAACCCAGACCGCCAGCUAAGGUCCCAAAGUCAUGGUUAAGUGGGAAACGAUGUGGGAAGGCCCAGACAGCCAGGAUGUUGGCUUAGAAGCAGCCAUCAUUUAAAGAAAGCGUAAUAGCUCACUGGUCGAGUCGGCCUGCGCGGAAGAUGUAACGGGGCUAAACCAUGCACCGAAGCUGCGGCAGCGACACUAUGUGUUGUUGGGUAGGGGAGCGUUCUGUAAGCCUGUGAAGGUGGCCUGUGAGGGUUGCUGGAGGUAUCAGAAGUGCGAAUGCUGACAUAAGUAACGAUAAAGCGGGUGAAAAGCCCGCUCGCCGGAAGACCAAGGGUUCCUGUCCAACGUUAAUCGGGGCAGGGUGAGUCGACCCCUAAGGCGAGGCCGAAAGGCGUAGUCGAUGGGAAACAGGUUAAUAUUCCUGUACUUGGUGUUAUUGCGAAGGGGGGACGGAGAAGGCUAUGUUGGCCGGGCGACGGUUGUCCCGGUUUAAGCGUGUAGGCUGGUUUUCCAGGCAAAUCCGGAAAAUCAAGGCUGAGGCGUGAUGACGAGGCACUACGGUGCUGAAGCAACAAAUGCCCUGCUUCCAGGAAAAGCCUCUAAGCAUCAGGUAACAUCAAAUCGUACCCCAAACCGACACAGGUGGUCAGGUAGAGAAUACCAAGGCGCUUGAGAGAACUCGGGUGAAGGAACUAGGCAAAAUGGUGCCGUAACUUCGGGAGAAGGCACGCUGAUAUGUAGGUGAAGCGACUUGCUCGUGGAGCUGAAAUCAGUCGAAGAUACCAGCUGGCUGCAACUGUUUAUUAAAAACACAGCACUGUGCAAACACGAAAGUGGACGUAUACGGUGUGACGCCUGCCCGGUGCCGGAAGGUUAAUUGAUGGGGUUAGCGCAAGCGAAGCUCUUGAUCGAAGCCCCGGUAAACGGCGGCCGUAACUAUAACGGUCCUAAGGUAGCGAAAUUCCUUGUCGGGUAAGUUCCGACCUGCACGAAUGGCGUAAUGAUGGCCAGGCUGUCUCCACCCGAGACUCAGUGAAAUUGAACUCGCUGUGAAGAUGCAGUGUACCCGCGGCAAGACGGAAAGACCCCGUGAACCUUUACUAUAGCUUGACACUGAACAUUGAGCCUUGAUGUGUAGGAUAGGUGGGAGGCUUUGAAGUGUGGACGCCAGUCUGCAUGGAGCCGACCUUGAAAUACCACCCUUUAAUGUUUGAUGUUCUAACGUUGGCCCGUAAUCCGGGUUGCGGACAGUGUCUGGUGGGUAGUUUGACUGGGGCGGUCUCCUCCUAAAGAGUAACGGAGGAGCACGAAGGUUGGCUAAUCCUGGUCGGACAUCAGGAGGUUAGUGCAAUGGCAUAAGCCAGCUUGACUGCGAGCGUGACGGCGCGAGCAGGUGCGAAAGCAGGUCAUAGUGAUCCGGUGGUUCUGAAUGGAAGGGCCAUCGCUCAACGGAUAAAAGGUACUCCGGGGAUAACAGGCUGAUACCGCCCAAGAGUUCAUAUCGACGGCGGUGUUUGGCACCUCGAUGUCGGCUCAUCACAUCCUGGGGCUGAAGUAGGUCCCAAGGGUAUGGCUGUUCGCCAUUUAAAGUGGUACGCGAGCUGGGUUUAGAACGUCGUGAGACAGUUCGGUCCCUAUCUGCCGUGGGCGCUGGAGAACUGAGGGGGGCUGCUCCUAGUACGAGAGGACCGGAGUGGACGCAUCACUGGUGUUCGGGUUGUCAUGCCAAUGGCACUGCCCGGUAGCUAAAUGCGGAAGAGAUAAGUGCUGAAAGCAUCUAAGCACGAAACUUGCCCCGAGAUGAGUUCUCCCUGACUCCUUGAGAGUCCUGAAGGAACGUUGAAGACGACGACGUUGAUAGGCCGGGUGUGUAAGCGCAGCGAUGCGUUGAGCUAACCGGUACUAAUGAACCGUGAGGCUUAACCUUACAACGCCGAAGCUGUU
rnacentral:rRNA from 1 species